rnacentral:tRNA from 1 species
AAUAAGGUGGCUGAGAUUAAGGCGUUAGAUUGUAAAUCUAAACAUGGGCGAAGAGCUUUCUUAUUA